rnacentral:rRNA from 1 species
AGAUUGAACGCUGGCGGCAGGCCUAACACAUGCAAGUCGAGCGCGAAAGUUCCUUCGGGAAUGAGUAGAGCGGCGGACGGGUGAGUAACGCGUAGGAAUUUGCCCAGUAGUGGGGGACAACUCGGGGAAACUCGAGCUAAUACCGCAUACGCCCCAAGGGGGAAAGCAGGGGAUCUUCGGACCUUGCGCUAUUGGAUAAGCCUGCGUCGGAUUAGCUAGUUGGUGGGGUAAGGGCCUACCAAGGCAACGAUCCGUAGCUGGUCUGAGAGGAUGAUCAGCCACACUGGGACUGAGACACGGCCCAGACUCCUACGGGAGGCAGCAGUGGGAAUAUUGGACAAUGGGGGCAACCUGAUCCAGCCAUGCCGCGUGUGUGAAGAAGCCUUAGGGUUGUAAAGCACUUUCAGUGGGAGGAAAAGCUGGCGCUAAUAUCCGUCGGCCCUGACGUUACCACAGAAGAAGCACCGCAAACUCCGUGCCAGCAAGCCGC